GACGAACGCUGGCGGCGUGCCUAAUACAUGCAAGUCGAGCGCAGGAAGACGUUCUGAACCCUUCGGGGGGACGACGGUGGAAUGAGCGGCGGACGGGUGAGUAACACGUAAAGAACCUGCCCAUAGGUCUGGGAUAACCACGAGAAAUCGGGGCUAAUACCGGAUGUGUCAUCGGACCGCAUGGUCCGCUGAUGAAAGGCGCUCCGGCGUCGCCCAUGGAUGGCUUUGCGGUGCAUUAGCUAGUUGGUGGGGUAACGGCCCACCAAGGCGACGAUGCAUAGCCGACCUGGGAGGGUGAUCGGCCACACUGGGACUGAGACACGGCCCAGACUCCUACGGGAGGCAGCAGUAGGGAAUCUUCCACAAUGGACGAAAGUCUGAUGGAGCAACGCCGCGUGAACGAUGAAGGCUUUCGGGUCGUAAAGUUCUGUUGUAAGGGAAGAACAAGUGCCGCAGGCAAUGGCGGCACCUUGACGGUACCUUGCGAGAAAGCCACGGCUAACUACGUGCCAGCAGCCGCCGUAAUAC
rnacentral:rRNA from 1 species